CUCAUAUAAUAAUUUAAUGGGUUAACUGAAGCACCAAAUCCACUCACGCAAUUAUUGAAACUUCAAGGAAAAUGAGAGCAUAGAUUUAUUAUUUCCUUAAUUUAGACACAAUAUUGCAGUAAUUAAUUUAGACGCAAUUAUCCACCAACAUGAAGCCGUGUUGGUCCUUUUUUUUUGCAAACCGAUCAGUCAUUAAUUUAGACACAAUAUUGCAGUAAUCUCAUAACACAAAUCCUUUGGCUACUAAAUCAAGAAAACCCAGUUUGUUGAAUUUACCUGGCAGAUCAACUUCAAUUUCUUUCUCAAGGUUUCUCCUUAUUUUAGUUCAACCUUGAUUUCUACUUUGUUGUUUUUUCUUUUUAUUUCCCUUUCUUCAACUUCCUUUCUUUUUGUAUUCAGUUUUACUUACUUUUGCUAAAAAAAAAAAAAAACCCGACCUUCAAAUCCCUUUGGAUUGUAUUGAAGUAGUAAGAAACACUAAGUGUAGUUUGAUUUCGAGCAAAUCAGAGGCAAAAGAGUGUUUGGAUUGACGAUCAAAUUCUUGGAGUUACAACUUCAUUUUGAAGUGCUGGACUAAGUUGGAAGAAAAGCCCAUUGAUUCUCAGACUUUGAAUCCUUCUUCAAUUUGAGCUUGUCAAGCAUGGGUUGCGGAUUUUGUGAGGCUGCUUCUUCGAACUCCGUUGGAACAUUGAUUGUGGACUGUAUGGUGAAGCCGGUAGGACGUCAACUUGAUUAUGUCCGUUGCUUUCAUGACAAUGUUGAAAAGCUUCGAGAGAAAAAGUGUGACCUUGAAAGUGCACGAGAUCAUCUACAACAUGAGAUUGAGGAUGCUGAAAGGCAGCUUCUACUAAUUCAAAAGGAUGUACAGAACUUGCAAUCAAAGGCAAGCGAAACUGUUGGAGUUUGAGUGCACUUUAACCGGGUAAAGUAAGAAUUUUAAACAGAGCACCAGCAGCAACGUAUUAUACCCAGGUAAAAUAUGAAGGAAAAAAUGCUUGAAGUUCAAGCUUUAAGAGCAGAAAUUGGAAGGAAAACAAGAACAUAACUAAAACAAAGAAAGAAGGAGCAUAUGAUUGAAUGAAAUCUGAUAAUUUUCAUUAACUUGAACAACGGCAUAUUGCCAAUACAUAAAUCAAGCUUUUUUCUUGUCAAAA